GGAAGGAAGGAAAAGGAAGGAAAAAAGAAAAAGGAAACAAAAAGAACAUAGGAAAGAAUACAGAAAAAAACAUCAGAAAAAAAAAUGGGAGGAAAAGAACAGAAAAGAAAACAAUGGGACAAGAGGGGGAAAAAAAAAAGAAAGAAAAAGAAGGAAAGAAACUUGGAAAAAGACAAUUCCAGUAUACUUCCUGAAAGGAUUUUCAGUAAAAGACUAAUAAGCCAUAUACUGCGACAGUACUGUAAGUCAGAGGAAGAAGGCUAUGAAAUGGAGUGGGCAGCUACACACAUCAGGACCACUAAGGAGAAAGUUCUAGGUGAAGGCAGUCGUGAAGCACACACAUCCUACAGAAUGACCACGAUAUGGACUGCAGUUCUUCACACUGACAGCGUGAGAAGAAAGAAGAAACAGUGACGAAUUCACCCUGUGUAUUAAGGACCUCUACCACCUCCUCCCGUUAACCCCCACCUUACAUCCUUGUCCUGCACCUCUGGAAGCUCAUUUGUUAGUGCAAUGUCAUGUGUUCUCUUUAGUGCCUCAACUCAGGGUGCUGGUUGGAGGCAGCUGGGUGCUCCCUCCGUAUAAUAUGUGUCCUAGCCCAGGCUGAGGGGGCAAACCUGCUCCCUCUGGACUCUGUAUCCAGGUAAGCAGAAUGGCAAAACGUUUGUUGUAAAAGUUUGUGAAGAAUUG
rnacentral:lncRNA from 1 species